GCUUUUAAAGGAAAAUAGCCUUCCCCUGGUCUUAGGAUCCAGCAACUCUUGGUGCAAAUCCAUGUAAAAGCU
rnacentral:tRNA from 1 species